AUGUACUGUUGAUGAAGUUAGGUGCUGUUCUGAGCAUUAUUUGUGGCUAUAGAGUGGCGUUUUGGUUGAGGUUUGUUUAUGGCUCCUGAGACCGCUGUGUAUCGAUAUCCUGCGGUUGUUACUAAAGUUGGUGAAACUAGAGAAGCAACGGUCGGCAACAUUCAUCUCUCGAGGGGGUGUCUAACUCGGUGUUAGGGUGUCUAAUUUUACGCCAGAAUAUCCCUUUAAUAGGACAGCUGAGGAGAUUUAAGACAUAAACUGGACUUCUGAAUUACGUGUAACCACGCUGAUGCGGUUGAGGAUUGACUUUCUCCUCCACGUAUUGAACUUCCAUCGGACUGAACCUGUCCUAAGCGUUCUGCACAUCCUCCAGAGUUCGCAUGCUAGGCUGUUUGUAUCUUUGGUAGCCAGCUUGUAAGCAGGAUAACUUGUUGUCAAGACCAGACCAGACCUCUUUGUUGUGAACUGCAGUGUGGACUCUGUUGUGUGUUGUCUGCCCUGCUCUAACCUCGUGGCCUUGCGACAUACUGCUACAUCACAUUCUUCUUUACUUCUUGUUGUCGUGUCUCGAAGAAUGUCAGACUGUUUAUAUCGGCGACAGGGAAAUUAUCUGUGAGGGCAGCUUACAGUGAUAAAUCAAACACACCACACAUUAGUAAACAAUAAAACAAGACAAAAUAAGAGGAGAAAGCACUUUUUUUGUUGAGACUUGGAGUUCAUUUCUUUUUAUCUUGUUUUCCCAAAUGCCGAUCCAAAAACACUCACAAAGCAGCAAAACAGCCACUUAUUCUGUGGUGAUUGUUUUGGUCGAUUACAUUUGUUGUCACCAGCAGAGGUAUUUAUACUUCUGUGAAAGUGUGUGUGUGUGAAGCUGUGUGUCCAGGGUUGUAGGUGCACAUUCUUGUGUAUGUUUGUGUGAUUCACACAUUCCACAGGCUUAAAGAGAGGUUGUGAUGAGCAUAUUUCUGCAAUCGUGUGGCACCACUCUGUUUACAUACCAGACGUGCUCCAGGGAGACCGAGACAUGGACACAAUGAGCUAAAUCCUGGGCUGUCUGUACAAUGAAGCAUGCACAAAGCACAUCACAAUUGAUCAACAACCAUCCUUUUUUUUUUUUAAAGAGUAUUCAAAGAUGUAAUAAGUGCACUUUUUUUCUCAGGUCUUGAAGUAAUGAAGGCCAGUUGUUGCUCAUCAAAUAAUCAACAUAUAGGAAACCAGCCUCUUUCCCGCAUGAUAGGAUUAAUGGAAAAGGUGGAAUGGCCCCUGGUGGAGACGGCUGACCCUUCCCCUGGAGCCUGACCUUUGACCCCUCUCUCUGUGAUCAGCUAAUUGGGAAGGAGAGAGUCAGAGGAGCCUAAAAGCUCUCUGCUCUGAGCCAGGCUGUCGCGACCAGGACAAGCCCGCUGGGGAAAGAUCUGCUCUACUUGAAGAGGAGGAGGAGGAGGGUUUGAACAAUGUCUUUGUGUGGAGGCCAGUCUCAUAACAGCCACAAGGACUACAGCGGUUACACACACUAAAAGAAAGAGGCGUGAGAACACCUGAGGCAGGUGUGGGGCCACGGACUGCACUUGAUGAGUCAAUAAAUCACACAGCCGAUAGAGUUUUAAACAGGCCAGUCAUCAGCAUUCAGACAGUCUGUGCAGAUUUAUGAACCACAAGAUUGCAAUACCUUUCACAAGCAGUUAUCUUAUGAAUAAUACACGUAGACCAUAUUUGAUGAGCCUAUCUACAGGCGACCAUAAACUGAUUUUAUUUGCCGCGUCGGGGUUUGUCUGUAGUGCCUGCUCUUCAUAAAAAUGGGAUCUUCACUUCUGCUGCUUCAGUGAGGUAACGGCACCAUUUGGGUAAUGGCACACUAAUAUUUUACAUCAGCUCAGGGAGGCCUGAUUUACUGCGGCGAUGCUGGGAGAAUUCUUAUGCAAUCAGAGCGUUGUUUCACCUCCCACGGUUCAACUUGAAAGAUGAUUAUGAAAUCAGGAGGAUAAGCUCUUGAUUUGGAGAACAGAGAGGAGUUAUGAAGGAGAGCAACACCAAUGUCCUCAACACCUUUUAUUUUUGUAAUUCUAUUAAUAACUCGGUGACUCAGUGUCUUUUUUCUACUACACUAGAGUGUUUUUGUCAAGGCUAUCUAUGACUAACAUAAAAUAAUUCACAGUUCAAAAGAUCAGACCAGGAUUUCUAUCAACCUUUAACUUUCUGUAAAGGUUAACGUAACUCCAGUAGUGGUUGCAUCUUAGAAUAAAAAGCAUAUUAGAUAAUUAGUACUCCCUUGGUCCUUUUUUUUAAUGGAGGGCAGAUACAACAAAACCAGGAGGUGAAGAGAUGAAGCCAAUGCAGAAGUGCAAGAAAAGUGCAGUUCCUCAGAUGUCCACUUGAGGCUGAUUCCAAAAGCUAACACAUUCCCACUAAAGCCCCUAUCAUGCAUAAUAAUGAUUUUUUACUCCAUAAUUAAACAUAUCUACAUUCAUUAUUUGGCCUAACAGGGAGUGUAGCUACUUUGACAUUCAGUUGAGCAUGUUUUAGCUGUUGUAAAGGGUCAGUGUUAAGCAUAAAUGUGCUACAUUGGAGCAUUCAUUUAACGUGCAUAUAUUCUGAUGAAUGGUGAACUGAGUGGCUUAAUUUGCAGUGAUUGGAAAGUACUUCAAUCUGGAGACAGUGACUGGCGAUUUCCACCGCAUCCAGAACGGCUAUGAAAAUGCCGUAUCCGCCGAUCGUAGCUGAUUUCCACAGGCUUCCUUUCCUUCCGCUGCAGAUCACGGGACUCUGCAGCUGAUCGUAAGAGUUCUAUUUUUUCCAAAAACCGGAGCGUGCUGGAUAAAUUCAGCACAGAUUAAUCUGUGCUGGAAAGGAAGUCAGGCACAGACACAAAAUAAAACAUCUGGCUUCUUUUCAAAAUAAAACACUCUGUGUUUUAGGUGGAUUGUAUUUCACACCAUGCAAACGGAAGGAGAUGAACAAGUGAAAGGCUUUUCAGACAGCAUUUCAUCCGGAUGACACAAUGAAUGAAGAGAUGCUGAUUUUAUAAGUCUAGAAGUAGAUUUCCUCCUCUGAAAGGACACAAUCCACUGCUUAUGUGGUUAGCCUAUGUGGCUAAAAACUACCUGAUAUCGCACAAUUGCACGUGAAUCCGCGGGUUCUUGUGCAUUCUCGCAAUUUCUGCUGUCCGUAUCCACCACAAAAUUAGCCUUACAAUCAGAUCUGGUAGGAAUUGACGUACGGCGAAAAUUGCUGUCGUUCUGGGUCAGAGCCAUUCCAGAUGCAAUGGAAAUCCCGGGUAAGCUUUGACUGUCUCAGGAGAGGUAUCAAAGCUGCUGAGAGUUGCUGAGCACUGUUUAUCACUGCAGUGGAAGUUGGAUUUAUGGCACCCAACAUGCAUUUGGCAUGAUCAACUGAGAUGUGGUUCAUAGUGCUGAUUAGAUCAGCUCUUGUAAACAUUUGAAGGAGUGUAAUAAAGAAUUUAGGAGAGAUGUAGCUUUUUUAAGAACAGUUAAUAUUCACAUGUGUUAACAGCUUUUCAAAGAUGCUGUUUUUAUGUGUUUAAUUGACAAAAUAUAGUGAGAAUAUAAUCAAAGGUCAUUUUCUCAGCUUUGAAACUGAAUAUCUGUCUAUGUCAAGUGU
rnacentral:lncRNA from 1 species